AUUUUAAGUUUUUCACGAGCAAAGUCAUGUAUCUUGUCUAGCCUUUUUGAUAGAUCAUAUGCAUAAUCUGUGUGUAUUUUGGAUGUUUCAGCAUCAACCCUGCCUAGUACCAGAUCUACCGGUAGAGUGAUGGAUCGACCGAAAACCAUUUCGUUCGGAGAAACUCCCAAUGACUCAUGAUCAGACGAACGAUACGCCAUCAUCAACUCCUGUAAUUGAUCCGAGUCUGGAGUUCCAGUGUUUCUGGUGUUAACCAUACAACAAUGCACCCAGUCAUCAGGAUCAUCAUAGUCCUCAGACUUCAAAUUUGCAUUACCAGCUAAGGUUGGAUUUGCCUCCUGCAACCUAGUCAAGACCUGUCUCAGAUUCUCAAGGUGUUCAUCAAAAGAUUUGGACAUGAUUAUCGCAUCAUCAAGUACACUGACUAACAGCCUCAACAUUUGCAACAACAGUAUCUUUGUACAGCUUGCUGCUAGAAUUACCCAUGUUCAAGAAUCGCAAAGGAACAAUACCCAAACUGGGGUCAACAAUGGCUUUUGCUAGUAGCUGAAUAUCCUGACUGAAAGGAGAUCCUGUUCUACUUGGAUUAUCUCCCCCUGACCCAGUGCUGGAUUCAUCAUUGUGUGGAUCUUGGAUCCUAUGAAAUGAGAUUUCCUCAUCGGAAUGUGACAUCUUUAUCAAAACCCUGGACUUUUUACCUUUGAUCAGCUAUACUCUGGGAUUUCUUUUUCAACUUGUUUCUGGUAAUGAAUACCAUUACAAUUUGCUGACCAAAAAAAUGAAAUGAAAGAUCCUGCCGACGACGCCAAUGUAACGUUUUCGUUUCGUGUGCGUGUUUGGAAACCCUGUAUGAUUGUCUUCAACCAGUGACAGGAGCACAAAACGUUUUUAGAAGGUUCGUCCCAGACUAAGCAUUUUGACCAAAGGCAAAACCAGACUCGAUACGUUUCAUUCCAAGUUAUUUUAAUAAUUCAAAAACAUUAAUUCCAAUGAUGAAUUCAACACACAUUUUUCUAGUGAAUUAAAAUACUUAAAACUGGA